GUCAGAGAGAGGGAGAGAGAGAAAGUCUUUUUUUCCUCUUUUGCAGUUGAGUUGUUGUUUGGCAGCGAAAAGCAGGGACAGCAUGACCAGAGUUUUAAACGUUAGUGCUGUGUUGGCAUAGCAAUGCGUGAGCCCCGUUGGAGCAGCAAAUCCUGUCAGCUAGCACCGCUAGCAGCGUGUGGCUAAACAACCCGCAUCCUGACGUGUGUGGGACUCCAGGGAGAUAUUGGCCAUGGGGCGGCUGGGAGACGACGGGAUAGAAGAGCUCGUGGUGGCGAGGUCGGCGGAAGGUCUCUUCUUUUAGAAGCAUGCUGAGGUUCAUUUAAGGCUGUGAGAAGGUCAUAGGUUCAGAGGUUGCCCGCGGCCCCGGGAAAUGCAGCUCCUACCUCAGCCAGCCCAACAUGUGGGAUUCAGAGCAGUGGCUCAAAAUGACACAGGACUGCACCAGAUGGAGGCACUAGCAUCAUUCAUGCACAGAGCUUUGGCCAGAUUGGCUUAAAGAGAUAUGAUAUGCACAGGUAAGGAGUGUUCAGAAACGAUUGUGCAGCCAUUUGCCCAGGGCUCAGUAAGGUCCUUACUAAGAGCUGAUGUUAGGAGAAGAACACAUCAAAACACAAGAAAGAGGACACAACUGUCCUAAGGACAAAACGUAUUUCAUGGUCAAAUUUUUUAAAGACAUGUGUUUCAUGAUGACAGACAAUACUGAGCCAG